rnacentral:rRNA from 1 species
GACGAACGCUGGCGGCGUGCUUAACACAUGCAAGUCGAACGAAAAGAGGGAAAGAGCUUGCUCUUUCCGGAAUUGAGUGGCAAACGGGUGAGUAACACGUAAACAACCUGCCUUCAGGAUGGGGACAACAGACGGAAACGACUGCUAAUACCGAAUAAGUUCCAAGGGCCGCAUGGCCCAUGGAGGAAAAGGUGGCCUCUACCUGUAAGCUAUCGCCUGAAGAGGGGUUUGCGUCUGAUUAGCUGGUUGGAGGGGUAACGGCCCACCAAGGCGACGAUCAGUAGCCGGUCUGAGAGGAUGAACGGCCACACUGGAACUGAGACACGGGCCAGACUCCUACGGGAGGCAGCAGUGGGGAAUCUUCCGCAAUGGGCGAAAGCCUGAAGGAGCAACGCCGCGUGAGUGAUGACGGCCUUCGGGUUGUAAAACUCUGUGAUCCGGGACGAAAAGGCAGAGUGCGAAGAACAAACUGCAUUGACGGUACCGGAAAAGCAAGCCACGGCUAACUACGUG